rnacentral:rRNA from 15 species
GCUUACGGCCAUACCACCCUGAACGCGCCCGAUCUCGUCCGAUCUCGGAAGCUAAGCAGGGUCGGGCCUGGUUAAUACUUGGAUGGGAGACCGCCUGGGAAUACCGGGUGCUGUAGCCU